rnacentral:rRNA from 1 species
UACGGAGGAUCCGAGCGUUAUCCGGAUUUAUUGGGUUUAAAGGGUGCGCAGGCGGAAGAUUAAGUCGGUGGUGAAAUUUUGCAGCUCAACUGUAAAAGUGCCAUUGAUACUGGUUUUCUUGAGUGUGGAUGAAGUAGGCGGAAUUUGUGGUGUAGCGGUGAAAUGCAUAGAUAUCACGAGGAACUCCGAUUGCGCAGGCAGCUUACUAAACCAUAACUGACGCUCAGGCACGAAGGCGUGGGGAUCAAACAGGAUUAGAUA